GACGAACGCUGGCGGCGUGCUUAACACAUGCAAGUCGAACGGAAAGGCCCUGCUUUUGUGGGGUGCUCGAGUGGCGAACGGGUGAGUAACACGUGAGUAACCUGCCCUUGACUUUGGGAUAACUUCAGGAAACUGGGGCUAAUACCGGAUAGGAGCUCCUGCUGCAUGGUGGGGGUUGGAAAGUUUCGGCGGUUGGGGAUGGACUCGCGGCUUAUCAGCUUGUUGGUGGGGUAGUGGCUUACCAAGGCUUUGAAGGGUAGCCGGCCUGAGAGGGUGACCGGCCACAUUGGGACUGAGAUACGGCCCAGACUCCUACGGGAGGCAGCAGUGGGGAAUAUUGCACAAUGGGCGGAAGCCUGAUGCAGCAACGCCGCGUGCGGGAUGACGGCCUUCGGGUUGUAAACCGCUUUCGCCUGUGACGAAGCGUGGGUGACGGUAAUGGGUAAAGAAGCACCGGCUAACUACGUG
rnacentral:rRNA from 1 species